GUUUGUUGGUAAGCAAGAUUACUCAUGAGGUUUACCACUAAUGUACACACAACUUGGUGGAAGGGUGACAGUUUGAUUUUUGAUUAGGUUUUAAUUGAAAUAAAAGUGACUGUUGGGCAUUGCUUGAGGUCUCUGCUGUACUAAAUUCCCUUGAUGUUUCUGUUUGGGUCCCUCUCUCCAGGUGAAAUGGAGUAGCAAACCAAGAAGGUGCUGGUAAAACACUAGGGGAGGAAGUAGAGCAAUGUAAUGCUUCCCUCUCCAGGAUAGCAGUCACCACAAAGCAUAUGUCAAAAGCAGGUGCUGUAUAAUUGUACCUCUGUAUACAGAAUAAAAGACCUUUAUAUUAUUACAAGUGAAUCUUUACAGAACUCAUCUCUGUGUACUUGCAGGACGCAAUGACAUGCUGACACUCCUUGCCAUAAGAUGGAACCAGCAGAAAUGUCCAAACCUGGCUACUGCACUUUCCCAGAGAUACCAUAAGACAUCUAAAGCUCUCAAUAUCCCGAUUGGGGACCUGGAAACCCUGAAAGCCCCGCAUCAACUGGGUGAACAAACUGUGGAAGAAUUUGUGCAAGAAGUAAAAGAAUGGGCCGAUGGAGAAAUUGACCAUCAAGGCACACCACAAGCUUUGUGUAAGAAGAUUGAGGCCUUAACAACCAGCAUCAACACGAGAGCUCAACUCCUAUAUUGGAAAAAUGGUAUGUUAACAUUUAAGGCCUUUUCAGAUCACAGUCUGAAAUGUCUCCAAACUCACUUCAUAAUUGGCAAAUUACACAGAGUGGUAUGCAUUUCAUGUACUGUGCGUAUUCUUUAG
rnacentral:lncRNA from 1 species